rnacentral:rRNA from 1 species
ACUCCUACGGGAGGCAGCAGUGGGGAAUCUUAGACAAUGGGCGCAAGCCUGAUCUAGCCAUGCCGCGUGAGUGAUGAAGGCCGUUAGGGUCGUAAAGCUCUUUCGCCAGAGAUGAUAAUGACAGUAUCUGGUAAAGAAACCCCGGCUAACUCCGUGCCAGCAGCCGCGGUAAUACGGAGGGGUUAGCGUUGUUCGGAAUUACUGGGCGUAAAGCGCGCGUAGGCGGAUCAGAAAGUUGGGGUGAAAUCCCGGGGCUCAACCUCGGAACUGCCUUCAAAACUCCUAGUCUAGAGUUCGAGAGAGGUGAGUGGAACUCCGAGUGUAGAGGUGAAAUUCGUAGAUAUUCGGAAGAACACCAGUGGCGAAGGCGGCUCACUGGCUCGAUACUGACGCUGAGGUGCGAAAGUGUGGGAGCAAACAGGAUUAGAUACCCUGGUAGCGACUGA